rnacentral:rRNA from 1 species
GAUGAACGCUGGCGGCGUGCCUAACACAUGCAAGUCGAGCGGACAGACGCUGAUCUCGCGCUACUGACGUUAGCGACGGGCGGGUGAGUAACGCGUGGAUAGCCUUCCUCUUAGACUUGGGUAACUGCGAGAGGCCGGAGCUACUACCAGAUAAUAUAUUGAACGGCAUGGUUCAAUAGUUAUUUACGUUUUUGCUGUCCCUGAGAGCUGUCUCCGCGUCGGUUGGGCUAGGUGGUAGGGUAACGGCUUACCAAGGCCGCGAUGCGUGGCCGACCUGAGAGCGUGAUCAGCCACACUGGAACUGAGACACGGUCCAGACUCCUACGGGAGGCAGCAGUAGGGAAUGUUGGGAGAUGGGCGAAAGCCUGAACGAGCGACGCAGCGUGGGUGAUGAAGGUCUUCGGGUCGUAAAACUCUGUUAUUGGGGAAGAACAAAUGCGUAAGUAACUAAGCACGUUUUGACGGUACCUAAAGAAAAAGCACCGGCUAACUACGUG